UGGGGAAUAUUGCGCAAUGGGCGAAAGCCUGACGCAGCGACGCCGCGUGGGGGAUGACGGCCUUCGGGUUGUAAACCCCUUUCACCAUCCACCAAGUCCUUGGUUUCUGCCUUGGGUGAGUGUAGGUGGGGAAGAAGCGCCGGCCAACUACGUGCCAGCAGCCGCGGUAAGACGUAGGGCGCGAGCGUUGUCCGGAUUUAUUGGGCGUAAAGAGCUCGUAGGCGGCCUGUCGCGUCGGAUGUGAAAGCCCGGGGCUUAACCCCGGGUCUGCAUUCGAUACGGGCAGGCUAGAGUGUGGUAGGGGAGAUCGGAAUUCCUGGUGUAGCGGUGAAAUGCGCAGAUAUCAGGAGGAACACCGGUGGCGAAGGCGGCUCUCUGGGACGGUACUGACGCUGAGACGCGAAAGCGUGGGGAGCAAACAGGAUUAGAUACCC
rnacentral:rRNA from 1 species